AAAAAAUGACUCUCGGCAACGGAUAUCUCGGCUCUCGCAUCGAUGAAGAACGUAGCGAAAUGCGAUACUUGGUGUGAAUUGCAGAAUCCCGUGAACCAUCGAGUCUUUGAACGCAAGUUGCGCCCGAAGCCGUCAGGCCGAGGGCACGUCUGCCUGGGCGUCACG
rnacentral:rRNA from 1 species